UACAGAGGUCUCAAGCGUUGUUCGGAUUCAUUGGGCGUAAAGGGUGCGUAGGCGGCGCGGUAAGUCGGGUGUGAAAUCUUGGAGCUUAACUCCGAAACUGCAUUCGAUACUGCCGUGCUUGAGGACUGGAGAGGAGACUGGAAUUUACGGUGUAGCGGUGAAAUGCGUAGAUAUCGUAAGGAGGACCAGUGGCGAAGGCGGGUCUCUGGACAGUUCCUGACGCUGAGGCACGAAGGUCAGGGGGAGCAAAACGGGG
rnacentral:rRNA from 1 species